rnacentral:misc_RNA from 1 species
GUCCUGCCCAAGAAUUUGGCACCUCUAUCUUUGCUAGAUCUUCUUGCAUUAAUUCCAUGGCACUAUCACAAGCUGGCAUAUUUGUACAACACAAUGCUUCUUUUUCUAAUAAGUUUGACUUUUUAUUUUUUGGUCGACUAAUCGAUGAUUUUUUAAUUGGCUUCGGUAUACCUUUUUUAGCCAAAUCAACUACGGCUUUAGGUAACUUCUCAUCGCUUGGUAUCCUUAAGCUAUCAACUUUUCGACUUAGAUGAGAGUUCCAAUAGUUUUUUAUCUCAUUGUCUGUUCUACCUGAUAAAUGUU